GAUGAACGCUGGCGGCGUGCUUAACACAUGCAAGUCGAACGAAGUGGCGAACGGGUGAGUAACGCGUAAUCAUCCUUCCCUUCAGAGGGGGACAACAGUUGGAAAUGACUGCUAAUACCGCAUACUGUAGGAGGGCCGUGCGUUGGAUUAGCUGGUUGGAGGGGUAACGGCCCACCAAGGCGAUGAUCAGUAGCCGGGCUGAGGGGAUGAACGGCCACAUUGGGACUGAGGAACGGCCCAGACUCCUACGGGAGGCAGCAGUGGGGAAUCUUCCGCAAUGGACGAAAGUCUGACUGAGCAACGCCGCGUGAGUGAUGACGGCCUUCGGGUUGUAAAGCUCUGUUAAUCGGGACGCGGUACCGGAAUAGAAAGCCACGGCUAACUACGUGCCAGCAGCCGCGGUAAUAC
rnacentral:rRNA from 1 species